rnacentral:misc_RNA from 1 species
GUAGGUGAACCUGCGGAAGGAUCAUUAACACGUAUCCACGUAUCAACCCCUCUGUGAAAACGCAAAAGCAGCAAGGUCUGGUCUUAGUGCGUCUGUCCGCUAUGGGUCCUAAUAAUGGGUGACUCCUCUCGGGGUUGUCACAGGGCUCGGACGGCGUGUGUUUGACGAUCAACCGACACUUUACCAUUGUUGGCCUUUACCCAUUUUUAACCCCUUUGUACUCUUUUGUACUGAACCAUUCUUCGAUGCU